AGCGAACGCUGGCGGCAGGCCUAACACAUGCAAGUCGAACGGACCCUUCGGAGUUAGUGGCGGACGGGUGAGUAACACGUGGGAACGUGCCUUUAGGUUCGGAAUAGCUCCUGGAAACGGGUGGUAAUGCCGAAUGUGCCCUUCGGGGGAAAGAUUUAUCGCCUUUAGAGCGGCCCGCGUCUGAUUAGCUAGUUGGUGAGGUAACGGCUCACCAAGACGACGAUCAGUAGCUGGUCUGAGAGGAUGACCAGCCACACUGGGACUGAGACACGGCCCAGACUCCUACGGGAGGCAGCAGUGGGGAAUCUUGCGCAAUGGGCGAAAGCCUGACGCAGCCAUGCCGCGUGAAUGAUGAAGGUCUUAGGAUUGUAAAAUUCUUUCACCGGGGACGAUAAUGACGGUACCCGGAGAAGAAGCCCCGGCUAACUUCGUG
rnacentral:rRNA from 1 species